rnacentral:rRNA from 1 species
GCCUAAGGCCAUAGUACCCUGAACUCACUCAAUCUCAAAGCUAAGCAGGGUCAGGCCUGGCUGGCACUUGGUGAGUGAGUUCUCAUGAGACCUGAUGUUUUUGUAC